UCUCUUUUAUGAUGAUAUAAUUUGCGAUCAAGGGUGGAAUAACGGAAACAACGCCUAGUUUCAUUCAACGUUUUUCUAUGGCAUGCGAAAAUAUAAUUAUAGUCUGAAC
rnacentral:snoRNA from 1 species